GGAGGCUCGCCUUGACCUUUCAGUUUUUCAAC
rnacentral:scRNA from 1 species